AUCUCUAACGCAAUCCUCAGCCUCUUGUUUUGCAGAGUUCUCCGCGCCACGGCAACUUGACGAGCUAGGCCACGGGCCACAUCCCCACUAAUCUGAUUGGUUCUGACGAUUAUUCAAACCCAGAUAGUCCCCGCCCCCUUGCCACGGAGGCUAACGAUUGGUCAGUGUCUUACCAGACCCGCCCUCCACGCCCCAGCCUAGCAGGUUCGGUGGGUCGCCCAGGUCGUUAACUCCCAGACCCGUUAGAACCGGUCAGGAGAGGAAUGUACUGCUCGAUCCUGAUUGGCGGCGGGAAGAGGGUUUGAAAAAUGGCGGGCCUCACGCUGACUGGUUGGGGCUGUAAACGGUGGGAGUGGUUGGCUCGGGAAGGAAAGCCCCGCCAGAUUUAAAAAUACUUAGUCGGGAGACUGGGGGUUGGUCUCCUGGCUUGGCGACGGCGGCGGCUCGGUUUGCUGGCGCUAAGCAAGCCCAAGACAAGUCAUUUAUUUCUGGACUAGAUUAUUUCAUUAUAGUAACUCAUCAGAAAACUGAGAUAAGCAGAGCAAGCUGCCUUCAGGAAUCACACAUUCUGUUCCCUUCAUCCAUGCGUUAUUUUUCAAAGUUCAGUAGCCUUCCGGGGAACAGAGCUACACCAUAUACUUUGUUCACAAAAGAGUGGAGAUUAGGAUUGAGGAAGGAGCUGACUUCUGAAAGUGGGAGCAAAAUUAUCUUGGUCAACUGCUGAGCUCCCAAAGAGGAUAACCACAUUCUGGGAGGACUCUAGGCUUAGUAUUUAAGCAUAGUGGGCUUAUAGAAGAAAAUCUUCAGAAUGGCAAGUAGAGGUGGGGAAAUUCUUCUUUGUCUUACUCAGUUUCCCUACCCACUCCUGCCCUAAAGAAGUAGGAUUAUUGAUUGGUGAAUUUGGAAAGAAAACUGGCAUUCCUCUUCCAGUCUCCUCCUCUCUCCUUGGGGAGUUAGCCUGCCCUCCCAUACUGCACAUGUUCUGCUUACUUUUGUGCCACAGCACAAAAGAGAGGUGGCCUGUGGCUUUCCAGCUCUCCCUAUGAUUUAGUGGUAGUCUGCCUAUUUUCAAGGUUCAUUAUUAUUGCAUAAAGAGGGGAGCUGCAUUCCCCAGCAUCAGCUUUAUUAGCAAUAAAGGAAAUGAGAUGGUUCUCCACCUGCCAUACUCUUUGGUCUUACAUAAAAAUUGGUUCGAAACUCAGAUGAGGAGUGCUAGUACUAUUUAUAUGUUUCCCUCAAAUUUCUAAGAGGGUGCUUUCAGAAGAAAAGGUGAUCCCAGAUUAGGGUUUGAAGGACAAAUAGAGUGUGUAUGGUGUAAGUGAAAAACAUGAUUGCGGAAGGAGGAAAGAGCAUGUGCAAAAGCAGAGAUACUUUAAAGAGUGUUGUGUGAUCUGGAUGGCUCAGUGAUGUAUAAGUAAAAUGCAAGGUGAGGAGUGGUAGCAAAGAGGCUAGAGACUAUAGAGCUAGUACAAGGCCAAUUUAUAAAGGGCUCAGACUUUAUCCUGUAGAUGAUGGUAAGCAAUGCAGGAAGGGAGAGGAUGGAAGAAGAGUCUUAAGCGUGGGAAGUAAUUCAAGGUAAACAAGUGAAAAUAGGUAUAGAUUAGCCUUCUAAGCAGCUUGACUAUUAAGGGAAUCCAAGGGCUUAUGUAAAUAUCUAGAGUGCCUCUUAGAGUUAAGGGAGGGUAAUGGCUUACACACGGGGUUUGUUUUAAUAUGGGAGAAACUUGAGCAAUGUGUAGCUUGCAGGAAGAGACUGAAAAUAUAGGAGAAUGGGAGAAUAAUUAAUGGAACAAAAAACCUAGAGAGAUGAGAGGUAAUGAAAUCCAGAAAACAAAUAAAAGGAUUCCUCCCUCUUCCACUGAAGAGGCAAAGAUCUGUGAGAAUGCAGACCAUUUUGUUGGUAGGCAUGAGGCCACCAAGGAAUUGCGGACUGUUAGCUUCAAUUUUCUUUGUUUAAUAGCAGGUUGGUCUUUGGUGAAAAUGAGGGGAUGGUUGGUGGAAUGGGAGGUCAGAGAAAGUAUUGAGGAUUCAAAACUAGCUAGGGAUGGGGAGAAGGACCUGCAUGAAGCACUGGAGGAGGGGGCAGUCAACUAAGAUUGGAUUGAACUGGGGUAAGUUUCACCAGGCAGAUGGGAAGGAAGGGCAGUGGGGUUUAAUGGAAGAGAAGACAUCGAGAGUGGCUGAAGUGACUAAACAUAAGAUAGGAAGAGAAAAAUAAUUAAAGAAAAUUAAUUUCUCAUUACAUCUAUAUCCUAAAGUCACUGUUGCAGAGCAUAAGGGUGACAUUUCUUUUAGUCAGACUAAAUUGUAAAUUUUAGGUACCAAUGGCAAAAAUGGACAUAAUUAUUUUGUCUUUUUACUUAUUAGAACAAUGUCUUUAAUACACAUUCAUUCUUAAAAAAAACCACACACAGGGAAAACAGGUCUUUUCAUGGAUCAAAUGUAUCUUCCAUAUUAAAGAUAACAUGGCAUUAAAAUAAAUGUAGCAAGGAUUAUUGGUUUUACAAGAAAAAUUAUCAGAAACACACAAAUAGUAGUCCACAUAUCUACUCAAUGGGGUCUGUUGUGUACAAACCCAAAAUAUACCUUAUAAACAAGCAAUACUUAUAAAAUCUGAUUACAUAUUUUGUAGCAAAACUUCAAAAGUUUCCUUCAAAGUUAGGGGAGCAAUCCACAAGAGAUCACCUUCACUUCUGACCCCAACUUAAGAGUUCAGGGUUCCCAGUGAGAGGUGAAUCUGUCUGGGCUUCUGGGUCAGGUGGGGACUUGGAGAACUUUUCUGCCUAGCUAAAGGGUUGUAAAUGCACAAAUCAGCGCUCUGUGUCUAGCUAAAGGUUUGUAAACGCACCAAUCAGCACUUUGUAAAAAACACACCAAUCAACGUCUGUGUUUAGCUAAAGGUUUUGUAAGUGCACCAAUCAGCACUCUGUAAAAACGCACCAAUCAGCGGGACGUGGGCAGGGCCACAUAAGGG
rnacentral:lncRNA from 1 species